CCGUUUUCUUUCAAUUUCGUCUUCUAGUUCGUUCUUUUAGCGUCUCCACGCUUGAAGAGCUCCACAACAAACAACACGUGUUUGUGUGACAGAACGAUGUUCCUCAAGACUUGGAGAUGUCUGGCGAAAAGAAAUGUCAGUGGCACGUGGAUAAGACUAUUCUCAUCUCAUGACAAUCCAUUGGGCAUUCCUCCUUCUUCAAGUAAAAAGUCACAAGAGGAACUGAGAAGAGAACACAUGGCUCGAGGGUUGCCACGGAAACGUCAGAUUGAUGGGGUAAAACAUGUCAUCGUUGUUGCAUCAGGAAAAGGAGGAGUUGGAAAAUCAACAACAGCAGUGAAUCUUGCUUUGGGCCUAGCAGCCAAUGAACCGAUGAAGGACAUUGGGCUGCUGGAUGCUGAUGUUUAUGGCCCAUCAAUACCCAAACUGAUGAACCUGCACGGAGAGCCAGAACUUACGACAGAUAAUCUGAUGAGGCCACUAGUGAAUUAUGGAAUAAAAUGUAUGUCCAUGGGAUUUCUGGUGGAGGAGAAUGCAGCCAUUGUGUGGAGGGGCUUGAUGGUGAUGGCAGCCAUUGAGAGACUCACCAGGCAAGUGAGUGUCAUGGACCCCACUGGAUUACCUGGUCAUAGACAUGCCACCUGGGACUGGCGACGUCCAGUUGUCCAUAUCACAAAACAUCCCAGUCUCAGGUGCUGUGGUUGUGACGACCCCACAGGACAUUGCGCUGCAGGAUGCACGUCGUGGAGCAGAGAUGUUCCGGAAAGUGAACGUCCCGGUGCUGGGACUGAUCCAGAACAUGAGUGUCUUCGUGUGUCCAAAGUGCGGACACCAAGAACAUAUUUUUGGGAAAGAUGGUGCAGAAGGAAUUGCUAGGGAAAUGAACUUGGACAUUAUAGGUGACAUACCACUGCACAGACGCAUCCGUGAGCUGUCCGACACUGGCCAACCUAUUGUGAUAGCUGAACCAGACAGUCCUCAGGCAGAGACUUACAGAUCUAUAGCA
rnacentral:misc_RNA from 1 species